rnacentral:rRNA from 1 species
CAUAAGACCACGCUACCGCAUGGUAGAGAGGUCAAAAGGAGCAAUCCGCUUAGGAGGGGUUCGCGUCCCAUUAGAUAGUUGGUGAGGUAACGGCUCACCAAGUCGACGAUGGGUAGCCGAGCUGAGAGGCUGAUCGGCCACACUGGAACUGAGACACGGUCCAGACUCCUACGGGAGGCAGCAGUGGGGAAUAUUGGGCAAUGGGCGCAAGCCUGACCCAGCAACGCCGCGUGAGAGAAGAAGGCCUUCGGGUUGUAAAUCUCUGUCGCAGGGGACGAAGAAGUGACGGUACCCUGCAAGGAAGCCCCGGCUAACUACGUGC